CGACACGCAGCAGCAUGCUUUCCAUCAUAGUUUUGACAUAUUUUGAAUUGUCAUCCGUGUUUUUCUUCUUCACGCAGGCUAAAUGAAGGGAUUUCCACAUUUAAUUGGUGCAUAAAUGUGUAUCCGAAUACAGGAAAUGAAGUCAUUGAUACUGAC